GUUUUUCCAGUAAAGGGUAACUAACUGGCCUCGGAGGAAAAGCGCACUGCAGCAGGAUGAGCAAGCCCGUGCCAGCCGGAACUGCCAAGGCUGCCCCACGGUGGCAACCUGCUAGCCACCACCUGUCCAGCCACCUGCCUGAGGAAGCCCUUCCAACAAGGAGGGCUCACCUCGGCAAGAAACCAUACGCAGUUUUCAAGAGGAACCAGAAAGGAAAAGCAAAGGGUGCAACUUUAUUCUUAGGGAAAGACAACAAAAAGGCAUGUGUCUCUCUGCACUGCAACCCGAGCGGCUGGAGUUCUCCACGGAGAGAGUUCUGAGCCCAGCGGGGGUGAGGACCCCGCAGCGGGCUGAGCAGUGGAGGGAGAGCCUGACGCAGGUGAGUACGGGAAGCUGCACCCGGUGCUCAGACCUACAGACCCCCCAGGCCUCGGGGAGCACGCGCCUGCGGCCCCCGCAGCGGUCCCCGCAGCGGCCCCAGCAGCACGCCGGGCCUCGGUCUCCUCAGCGGCGGCGCCCACCUGCGCCCAGUCCCCGCAGACCGGUCCCCGCGGCCCCGUCCUCGCGGCCCGGUCCCCGCGGUCCGUUAAGCCGCGGCGCGCUCGGCCCCGUAGCAGCGACCGCAGGACCUCGGGCCCGGCAGGGCCUGGGCGGCCGCUCGCACACGGUCACGGGCCUCGGCAGGGACCGCGGCGUGAGGGGCGCGCGCCCGGCCGACGCCGCGGGCUCACCUUCUGCCGGAUCUGGCCCGACGUGGACACCUUACGGAUAAGCUUCUGCGGGGAGCCCGGCUCAGCCUCGGGUUCACUGUCGGACGACUCCUCAGGCGGCGGCGGCGGAG